rnacentral:lncRNA from 1 species
UUUGAUUGAAUUCAGGUAAAUAAGGAUUAAGACUCCAAUAUCCCCAAUUAUGAACUAUAAAUCAAUUAUCCAAUUAUCUCAAUUAUUAUGUCUACUGAAUUGUUAACAGGAAUUCUCAAAUGCCAAAAGCCCUUUUCCAAGUGAUCAAUUGCCUUCUAUUUAAUCCAGAUUAAUUUUGAUAUAUUCCUAUGCUGAAUUAAACUCGUUACAAUCCCAAUUCCUUAUGUGUUACAUGCGACAAACAGAUAUUUCCAUUCUAUUCACAAACUUAAUUAUUCACUGUGCAAAUAACUAAGUCACAUGAUAUCAUGCCCAGUUCUAACCCUAGAAUUCCUCUUCCAAUUCCUUCUAGAGUAACAAGAUAAUUA